GAUCCUGGCUCAGGACGAACGCUGGCGGCGUGCUUAACACAUGCAAGUCGAACGAGAAUCUGCGGAACGAGGAUUCGUCCAAGUGAAGCAGAGGACAGUGGCGGACGGGUGAGUAGCGCGUGAGGAACCUGGCCUUUCAGAGGGGGACAACAGUUGGAAACGACUGCUAAUACCGCAUGACACAUAGAUGUCGCAUGUCAUUUAUGUCAAAGAUUUAUCGCUGAAAG
rnacentral:rRNA from 1 species